ACUGACAACGCCAGUCGAGUAAAGAUAUGGCGUCGUUUGUCAAAUUCGGCAAUGUGUGUGUGUAAUUUUCCUUAAAAUAUUGCCAAACUCUUGUGUUUCUCUUUAAAAGUGUUAUUGGUAAUAAACCUGCACUCUCAAAAUGGGUCGGUCGAGAUCGCGGAGUAAAUCUCCUCGACGCCAUCACAAGAGCAGUAAACAUUCGCGAAAGAAGAGUAGAUCAAAAGAUCGCUCGUCGUCUCGAAGCCGAAGCACUAAACAUGCGGAAAAAUCAAAAGAACGUAGUUCUAAAUCUAGAAAACGGUCACAUUCAGUAUCGUCAUCGAGUAGUAGUGGCGGAUCGUAUGAAGGGAAUAGGCACAGGAAAAAGUCCAAGGGACGCAGCAAAAUGGAUGAGGUUGAUAGACUAGCAGAAAUGGAAAGACAACGGCGACUACGAGAAGCUGAACAAAAGGUGGUUGAAGAAGAAGCUGCAAAAAGAAUAGAGUUACUUGUAAAGAAGAGAGUAGAGGAAGAAUUAGAAAAACGAAAAGAUGAAAUUGAACAAGAGGUAGCAAAAAGAGUGGAAGAAGCGAAACGGAAGAUGGAAAAAGAAAUGAUGGAGGAGUUAGAAAGGCAACGGGAGCAGCAAAAGAGAGAGGAGUUAGCUCGACAGGUAACUAUUCCUUUUUUACGCCAGUCAUGUGUAAACGCAAUGGUCAUUGCUCUUGCACAUGACGCCACCUACUGCGAUAGCAAUCAUUAUUGUUCUCGCAGCUUAUGAAACACAUUUAAGUGUAUAUUCAUAAAAUUAAUAAGUGAACAGAAACUAAUGAAAGUAUUAUUUCGAUCAUAUCUGUUAAAGGUCCAGUCAGGUGUAGUUCGAGUGCUUACAAGAAAUUUGUUUCUUGACAUAUUAUAUAUUUGUCACUCACUGAGGCCCGUGGCUACUUAACUUAGAGUUAUCUCCAUUAAAUAUCAUACAUACCAUUUGCACACCCACAAGGCAAUGUAGCUAUAAGUACCGCAUUGUAAGAAUGCCGUGAAUGCGCCGGCUAGCAUUUUAAAAUUUGUUCGCUUGACUGUCCUUGGCAGUCACGUAGUCUAUAAGUCAGGUCGGAAGACUGAACAACAACCUGAAGCCGUAAGAAUUUUAUGGAGACGCAGCUUGAGGAUCCAGACGUGAGUGCUGAAGGAGGAGGAAGCACGUAAAAGGAAAGAGUUGGAGGAAAUCAUGGCUGAAAAUAAUAAAAAGAUUGAAGAAGCUCAGCGCAAGUUGGCCGAAGAGAGGUUAGCAAUGAUCGAAGAACAAAGAAAAAUGGAUGAGGAAAGGCAGAAAUUGAAAAAAGAACAAGAAAAACGAAUAAAAGAGGAACAAAAGAAAAUUUUGGGCAAAAACAACUCUAGGCCUAAAUUGUCGUUUAGUUUGAAACCAAUGUCGUGAGUGAUUGUUGAAUAGUGAGUGCAGUGGGAUACUGCAUGGUGAACUAUGAAAUAAUAAUUUCUAUUAACAUGUCAUGCUCAUUUUGAGCAUAAAUUAAAUAUGGACAAACUCGUAACUUCGUAAAAAAACUGUUAAUAGGUUAUGACAGUUGGUUGUACAGACCAAUAUAAGUGUGGUGCCUUCCUGGUUCACUUCCAAACCUUUAUGUAAUACUAUGUCGUUAAUAGUUUCUCUUUCACUACAAUAAUCUUAAUAUUUGGUCCUGGAAACAACUGAAAUUACAUCAAUCUAAGUUUACAUUUAAUGGUAAUGCUUUCUGUUAUUAUACUGAAAGUAUUGUAGGGUAAUAUCAUUUUGAUAUGUUUGCUUCAAAGAUUAUUUAUCUUCUAGUUUUUAUACAGGGUUAUUUUUACAUUGCAUUACUAAAUGAGACCACAGACUUAUCUUCUUGAAAAUAAUAUUGACAAUAAUUUCAUGAAACCAUAGAUGUAAAAGAAAAGAGUGGAAGUUUUAAACAAAAUAAAUAUCAGUAGAAAUAUAUUUUAAUUUUACACCCCCUAAUGAUACUAGUACUACUAAGAGAAUCGUCGCAGCAAGAACAUCACACUUUCAGCCAGGAAAACACACCAUAUCCGCUCUAUGCUGUAAAAUAAAUAAAAAAUCAAAACAAUAAAACCAGAAUUUUAGGUGGGUAUAAUCGUAAUUCAGGUUGAUUUUUUUGCCCCAAUAUUAGCCAAUGUAUAUGUUUAUGUGGUUUCAUAUAUCACCGCAAUGUCAACAUGACCCUGUGUAUUCUUUUUAGUAUGGACAGAACUACAUAUUGUAAUAGCUCUUAAGCUGUGAUCUCAAUCAUAAAGAGAAUAAUAAACCAACACAGUAUGUGUGUGCUCAAGUUACUAAACCUUAUGUUCUACAGAACAUUAUGAAGUAAAUAACAGUACAUAAUAUCAAGCCAAAUGUGUCCAGUUUAGUGUAACUGACUGAGUGUAUAUUUGAUGUACAUGAUGGUUAUCUCUUAUCAUCCUAACAGCCUCGGCCAAAUUUCCAUUUACGUAAGAUUUUUCGUAUAUUCCUAAUAAACGUGGUUGCAACUUGCAACCCACUGUCCAUACAAUGAAAAAUUUAAUUAAUUUCUGAAAAAAAUUACGCCUUAAUCUAUUAUUGCAAUUAAGUUAUUAGUGUACAUUUUCAGGUUUGUAAAGUAAGAUUAGUAACUUAAGAGUAACAUAGUUGUUUAGAUUUGAUGAUACUUCAUACUGUACUAUUUUAUACAAUUACAAAAAUCAUGCCGUUCAAUUCCCAUAAUAAUUUUUAGUAAUAAGCACAUAAUAAUGUAUUCCACAAUCACAGUUUUUAAUAAAACAAAAUUUCCACAAGUGAUUUACAUCUUAACAUUUUAAAUAAAAUAUAAUAUUCUUACAAAAUAAGUUUCUCCAACCCAGAAAUAAAUAUACUAGUACUUUUCUUUUGUUUCAAAGUAAACAAAAGAUUUUGAUGAUAAAGACACCAUAUUAGAGUUUGUUAUUUUAAUAAAUUAAAUUCUUCGUCUAAUA
rnacentral:misc_RNA from 1 species